UAAGGAAUAUUGGUCAAUGGACGCAAGUCUGAACCAGCCAUGCCGCGUGAAGGAUUAAGGCCCUCUGGGUUGUAAACUUCUUUUAUAGGGGAAGAAAUGUGCCGGUUCUCCGUCACUUGACGGUACCCUGGGAAUAAGCACCGGCUAACUCCGUGCCAGCAGCCGCGGUAAUACGGAGGGUGCAAGCGUUAUCCGGAUUCACUGGGUUUAAAGGGUGCGUAGGUGGGCAGAUAAGUCAGUGGUGAAAUCUUCCGGCCUAACCGGGAAACUGCCGUUGAGACGAUUUGUCUUGAAUAUUGCGGAGGUAAGCGGAAUAUGUCAUGUAGCGGUGAAAUGCUUAGAUAUGACAUAGAACACCAAUUGCGAAGGCAGCUUACUACACAAUCAUUGACACUGAGGCACGAAAGCGUGGGUAG
rnacentral:rRNA from 1 species